rnacentral:rRNA from 1 species
UCUUGGUCAUUUAGAGGAAGUAAAAGUCGUAACAAGGUUUCCGUAGGUGAACCUGCGGAAGGAUCAUUAACAAAUUGUAACGGGAGUUGAUGCUGGCACCUAUUUCUUUUAGGUCUGCAUGUGCUCGCCCCCAGCGAUUUUAAUCCCAGACACCUGUGCACUUUUCUGUAAAGGGGGNGGGUUAGUUCUGAGCUGAUGAACUCGUUUUAUUGGCUUAGAGUUACCUUCUUCUUUCAUUAUACUCCAUUUACAAUGUUGAAUGUGAUUGUGCCGUAAGGCCUUAAAUGCAGUAUACAACUUUUAACAACGGAUCUCUUGGCUCUCGCAUCGAUGAAGAACGCAGCGAAAUGCGAUAAGUAAUGUGAAUUGCAGAAUUCAGUGAAUCAUCGAAUCUUUGAACGCACCUUGCGCCCCCUGGUAUUCCGGGGAGCACGCCUGUUCGAGUGUCGUGAAAUACUCUCAAGCCUUUGGGGUUUUUCUUUUGUAAAGGAGCCACAUUGGCUUGGUAUUGGGCUUUGUCGUCACUUCUUUUUGGGACGGCUGGCCUCAAAAGCAUUAGCUGGCCUAUAUCGUAGGAUAUGGUUCUACUCAGCGUGAUAGUGAACUGACCGCUGAGGACAUCUUUUGGGAUGGCCAGUCCUCGUUUGGGUUGCUUCUAAUCUGGUUUAGCAGAUCUUUAAUGUAUCUGCGCCUAUUUCAGAUUUGGCCUCGAAUCAGGUGGGACUACCCGCUGAACUUAAGCAUAUCAAUAAGCGGAGG